UACGUAGGGGGCAAGCGUUGUCCGGAUUUAUUGGGCGUAAAGAGCGUGUAGGCGGCCAUGUAGGUCCGUUGUGAAAACUCGAGGCUCAACCCUGGGAUGCCGGUGGAUACUGUCGGGCUCGAGUCCGGAAGAGGAGUGUGGAAUUCCUGGUGUAGCGGUGAAAUGCGCAGAUAUCAGGAGGAACACCAAUGGCGAAGGCAGCACUCUGGGACGUGACUGACGCUGAGACGCGAAAGCGUGGGGAGCAAACAGG
rnacentral:rRNA from 1 species